UUUUACUUCGUUCUUCCCAGCCAAAUUAUUUGGUGUGCAUAUCUGUCCAGAAAAAGGUAAGUAUUUAAAUAUGAAAGAUUGACAUCAAAAUAUCAUUUAAAUGCUUUUUUUAGCAGUUUUCAUAUGGAAUCUUUACAAAUAAUGAUAUAGAAAUGAGAAACCCCUGAUCCUGUUUAAAUGUAAACGGAAAAAGUUCAGAAUGUCACUUUCUAUCCUGUUUUUUCUUUCAUCGCCAUAACUUGUACGCCAAGUCUCGAAAUGUGUUCUGUAAGCCUGAAAGAGCACACAAAAUAGUCACACAUCAAACUAAUAUAUUCAAAUUAAUCGAUGUAAUAUUGUGUCGCAGGUUAUAUUGUUUGAAAGAACAGAAUAUCGCAAUGAAACAUCUAUAUAUUUCGUUCUUGAUUUUGUUGUCACAAGUAUAUGGAACAUGUGGAGGGUGGUGGUUUUCUUCUAAUAAUGAAGAAACUCAUGACCCUUUAAAGACUCAGAUGAUUUCCAGUGCCGUUGGUGCUGAAUUUUCCAUUCAAACUCUAGAUAACGACGUAAAGGGAAUGAAUUUGGUCGAGAGUGCUAAAUUAGUUAUGCUUACAUCAAAAUCUUGCUCGUUGAAUGCGUAUCAAGAUUUAUCUGCAGGAUGUUCGAAGAUUGUUGCAGAGGAAGAAUUGAAGUAUAAACUGGCUUGGGAUCUCAGUGAUUGCUUUCAACAGCACACUGGACGGCCUGCCUUUCCUCUUUGUGAUUCAAGAAAAAAUCCCAUGAAGAAAUGCCUUCAGAAAUUGAGUGAUGAUUCACAUAAAGUUUUCUUAGAGUUUUUCCUUCAAAUUAAUACAAUCUGUCAUCAAUUACAGUAUGUUUCCCUUCUCUUUAAAAGCUUGGAAAGAAAUUUUCGAGAUUCGUUCAUUUUUCCCUUUUUUGAGUUAAUAUUUUAAAUAAUUUUGCAGGAUUCAUGCCUUCAAGCAUCAAACUGAGAGACUGGUAAACGAAUUGAAAAGAUCUGCAGAGUAUGCAGAAGAAAAACUCGAAGACAUUGAAGAACAAGGGAAGGAAUUAUUGCAAAACUCGUAUCAAAUUUAUAAUUCUUUGGCUUCCAUUGACAUCCAAACUCACCAGUUGGCAGAAACAUCGAAAAAUGUUGAAGAUCAUGUAAAUGUUGUGAAGAAGUACACAGAGGUAGUCCAUGAACAAUCGAAGGGAAUAGCAGCUUCGCAGUUAGAGUUAAGUGAAAGUCAAAAGAAAAUGAAAGAGAACCUGGAUGCAGGGAUAUCAAUGCUCCAUGAUUCAUAUGAUAAUUUGGGCAUUGAAAUAAAUAACUUAAGGGAUGAAACGGUAGAAAUAGAGAAGGAGAUUGGUAAAGUUGGAGAGGAAAUGUUUACGAAAAUGUCGACUCUGCAGAAUAAAGCUGACGAUAUUGAGAAUAUGACUGGAAAUUCAUUGGAUAAGCAAAAACAACUUUUGGAUGCUCAAACAGCAGCACUCGACGGUCUUCAGUUUCUUACUAAAUUUCAGUCUCAAGCACUUGAAGAGAACAGGUAAAUAGAUAGAGCAGUGUUGUAACAUAAUGUACAUUAGCUUUAAAACCUGGAUCGAAUUUGUAUGCACUUACUACAAUUUUAAUAUGUUAAAAGGGAUACCUUGCAACAAAUGGCUGAAUUUGGGAAGAACCAACAAGAGGAGCUUCUUCGACGGCAAGAGCAACUUCAACAGGCUCAUGAUCAUCUAGUUGCAAAUUCAAAGACAAUAUUAGCGGCUCAGGUGUGACAUUUUUUGACGGCAUCCUCUUUAAAGUACUUAAAUAUUCGACUUUUGUCAUAGCGUUUCUCAAAUUUCACCAUUCUUUACAGGAAGCUUUUGAAUCGAAGCAAGCCAGCAUGUUCAUAGCAAUAGACAAGCUUUUUGCCUUGCAUAAUGCUUUGCUUCUUGAAUCUCGAGCAAUUAAAGCUUUCUUCUUUUAUUCAUUAAUAAUCCUCGUGCUCUACAUCUUUACCAGUAUGAAGCAAACGUACAAUGUACGACCCAGGCUCUACAUAGGUAAGUAUCACACAUCUAAUUGAUGCAAAACUUGAAGAUAUCCAGUUCAUUUGAAUUUCAUAGUAGUUCUUGUUUGCAGGAUUAUGUGUCACAUUUGUUAUCGAGUUAAUCAUACUUCGCCGUGCAACAUACGAUAUUGAACAAAUGGGAUGGAUAAUAACCUCUCUUAGGUCAAUUUUCCUGGUUCUAGCCGCAAUCCAACUUCUGUAUGCCAUUAACACAUACAGGUAGAAGACUGAAAUUGCGAUUAUAAGUUAUUUUCAGGUAAUGUGAUGCAUUAUAUAUUAUGUCUAACAAAUAAUUUGCAAAUUAUGCAGAGACUAUGAAAUGCUAAACCAUCAGAUGCUAUUAACACUAAUGGACAAGAUUAAUGGCUUGCAUGGCUUGCAAAGCAACGAAGAAUCGUUAUUGGACAUGGAUGAGGAGAGUGACGUCAACUGGUCUUUAUGGGUUGAUUGUGAGUUACCAGAAGAUGUAGACAAAUCAGAGGACCCUGACUUCGUGGUUGCAGAGGAAGGUAGAGAGUUUUCACUUGAAUCC
rnacentral:lncRNA from 1 species